CUGACCGGAGAGGAUUAUGGACCUUUGAAGAUGUCCACUGAUCAUGUGACCACCAGCACUCAUCCACGUCUGUCCAGGAAAUUUAGUCGUGCCCAGAGCCCCAUUCCAGAGCCUCCACUGACACCAAAGAAAAACAAGGUAAAGAAGAUGGUAGAAGUCACCCAGAAGAUGAUGGAGCUGCUGACAGGAGAGGUUCCUAUAAGGUGUCAGGAUGUCACUGUCUAUUUCUCCA